CCUGACGGAAAUGUUCAACUCUAUGCACUGUCAAUUGUUCAAGUUGAACAUUUGUAACGUCAGAGUUGACUGUGAGGUCGACAAAAAGGAGACUACGAUGAGAGUUGCCCAGGAGACAAUCGACGCUUUGCAGACCUCAACUCGAGAGAAACAGCUUGAAAAGGAACAACUCGCCGUUCAACUCAAAGACGCGACUAACAGCACACAAGAAUUAACGGCGGAAAUCACCGCCACCAGGGAAAUGUGCGACGGUCUGCAGGUCCAAUUCUCUUCGGCGCAACAAACACUAACGAAAGCUGAAGCAGAUAAGGAAGAAAUGAAAGAAUUCCGUUUGUCAGUGAAAGCAGAAGUGAAGACAUUUGCAGUGACUUUGAGUGAUUUAAAUUCAAAGUUUCAAAAUGACAAGAACAUCGCGUUGGCCAAAG